rnacentral:rRNA from 1 species
CCCAAACCGACACAGGUGGUCAGGUAGAGAAUACCAAGGCGCUUGAGAGAACUCGGGUGAAGGAACUAGGCAAAAUGGUGCCGUAACUUCGGGAGAAGGCACGCUGGUGUGUAGGUGAAGUCCCUGCGGAUGGAGCUGAGACCAGUCGAAGAUACCAGCUGGCUGCAACUGUUUAUUAAAAACACAGCACUGUGCAAACACGAAAGUGGACGUAUACGGUGUGACGCCUGCCCGGUGCCGGAAGGUUAAUUGAUGGGGUUAUCCGUAAGGAGAAGCUCUUGAUCGAAGCCCCGGUAAACGGCGGCCGUAACUAUAACGGUCCUAAGGUAGCGAAAUUCCUUGUCGGGUAAGUUCCGACCUGCACGAAUGGCGUAAUGAUGGCCAGGCUGUCUCCACCCGAGACUCAGUGAAAUUGAACUCGCUGUGAAGAUGCAGUGUACCCGCGGCAAGACGGAAAGACCCCGUGAACCUUUACUAUAGCUUGACACUGAACAUUGAGCCUUGAUGUGUAGGAUAGGUGGGAGGCUUUGAAGCGUGGACGCCAGUCUGCGUGGAGCCAACCUUGAAAUACCACCCUUUAAUGUUUGAUGUUCUAACGUUGGCCCCUGACCGGGGUUGCGGACAGUGUCUGGUGGGUAGUUUGACUGGGGCGGUCUCCUCCCAAAGCGUAACGGAGGAGCACGAAGGUUAGCUAAUCCUGGUCGGACAUCAGGAGGUUAGUGCAAUAGCAUAAGCUAGCUUGACUGCGAGCGUGACGGCGCGAGCAGGUGCGAAAGCAGGUCAUAGUGAUCCGGUGGUUCUGAAUGGAAGGGCCAUCGCUCAACGGAUAAAAGGUACUCCGGGGAUAACAGGCUGAUACCGCCCAAGAGUUCAUAUCGACGGCGGUGUUUGGCACCUCGAUGUCGGCUCAUCACAUCCUGGGGCUGAAGUAGGUCCCAAGGGUAUGGCUGUUCGCCAUUUAAAGUGGUACGCGAGCUGGGUUUAGAACGUCGUGAGACAGUUCGGUCCCUAUCUGCCGUGGGCGCUGGAGAAUUGAGGGGGGCUGCUCCUAGUACGAGAGGACCGGAGUGGACGCAUCACUGGUGUUCGGGUUGUCAUGCCAAUGGCACUGCCCGGUAGCUAAAUGCGGAAGAGAUAAGUGCUGAAAGCAUCUAAGCACGAAACUUGCCCCGAGAUGAGUUCUCCCUGAGACUAUAAGUCUCCUGAAGGAACGUUGAAGACGACGACGUUGAUAGGCCGGGUGUGUAAGCGCAGCGAUGCGUUGAGCUAACCGGUACUAAUGAACCGUGAGGCUUAACCUU